rnacentral:misc_RNA from 1 species
GAUGAAGAACGUAGCGAAAUGCGAUAAGUAGGGUGAAUUGCAGAAUUCAGUGAAUCAUCGAAUCUUUGAACGCACAUUGCGCCCCUUGGUAUCCCGAGGGGCAUGCCUGUUCGAGCGUCAUUUCACCACUCAAGCCUGGCUUGGUGUUGGGCGACGUCCCCUUUGGGGACGCGCCUCGAAACGCUCGGCGGCGUGGCACCGGCUUUAAGCGUAGCAGAAUCUUUCGCUUUGGAAGUCGGGGCCCCGUCUGCCGGAAGACCUACUCGCAAGGUUGACCUCGGAUCAGGCAGGGAUACCCGCUGAACUUAAGCAUAUCAAUAAGCGGAGGA